rnacentral:lncRNA from 1 species
UUACAGUCCUGUGAAUGAAACAUUGUGACCUCAAGUUUACAGAUGAAGACAAUAAACUUCAGACAGUUCAAGUACAUCACUCAAGCAGGAUUAUUUGUGCCCAUGAGGGAAACAUGAAGGAUUGUCAGUAUUCAUUUGCUAUCAGAACUGCCUUUGAACUUCAGGGAAGCCGCCAUCUUGUUUUUGUUCACUCCUCUAAAGUAUAGUGUCUGCAACAUGAAACACUAGUAAGACACAGUUAUCCAGAAAGAGCCCUAGAGAUAGAUAAGGAACCUGUUGGAAUGCUCUGAUAUUAAGAAAAAAAAGUUAAAUUCAAAAACAAAAACAAGUCACAAGGGAGUUUUAUGCCUAUGUAAUCAGUGCAGACAGCCGUUAAGUAAAUGAAGAGGCAACUAACAAUGUCAGAAAAGAGACCGGGCGGUUCCGGCUGACACUACCCUAAUCUUCCAGGACCCAUUAAAUGGCAGUUUCAACGCAUUACCUACCAUAACAUCCUUGAAUAUCACUGAUUUUAUUUGCAGUAUCAAACAUUCCAUUUCAUGCCCCAUUAACAGUGGGAGCCUGAGCUUUUUGACGCAGCUAAACAUUUUACUAACUACCUGGACUAAGUAACCAAUUAACUUUUGGAGACAAUACGGCCAAUUAAGCGCGAAAAGAGAAUUUAGAAAACAGGCUUUUCCUAUCCAGAUGAACAGAGAUAAUUUAUGUCUAUGGAUGUUCUGUGAAGGCCUAUUGUGUUGAGCAGUGUAUUAAAACAUAAACAUGGCUCUUCCCCCAAGAAACUUACAUUUUAGUAAGUGAGCCUGGCCAAAAUGGAAAACUGCAAGGUUCAAAUCCUGGAGUGAUGAAGAAGCAUUAGGC